UACGUAGGGUGCGAGCGUUAAUCGGAAUUACUGGGCGUAAAGAGCUCGUAGGCGGUUUGUCACGUCUGCUGUGAAAUCCCGAGGCUCAACCUCGGGCCUGCAGUGGGUACGGGCAGACUGGAGUGCGGUAGGGGAGAAUGGAAUUCCUGGUGUAGCGGUGGAAUGCGCAGAUAUCAGGAGGAACACCGAUAGCGAAGGCAGCUCGCUGGGACGGUACUGACGCUGAGGCGCGAAAACGUGGGGAGCGAACAGG
rnacentral:rRNA from 1 species